rnacentral:rRNA from 1 species
UACGUGGGGCGCAAGCGUUAUCCGGAAUUAUUGGGCGUAAAGAGCUCGUAGGCGGUUUGUCGCGUCUGCCGUGAAAGUCCGGGGCUCAACUCCGGAUCUGCGGUGGGUACGGGCAGACUAGAGUGCAGUAGGGGAGACUGGAAUUCCUGGUGUAGCGGUGAAAUGCGCAGAUAUCAGGAGGAACACCGAUGGCGAAGGCAGGUCUCUGGGCUGUAACUGACGCUGAGGAGCGAAAGCAUGGGGAGCGAACAGG